CUUGAAGUAGACUGCUUGGAGCUGGUACAGCUCUGGAACUCGCGACAAUUUUCGCGCUCUGUUAUAGCGCCUAUUCUUCUUGAAAUUGAAGAGCUAGUUUCAACUUUUCUUAGUUUUGAUAUUCAACAUGUAUUGAGACAAGCCAAUCAUUCAGCACACCUUUGUGCAAAGCAUGCGAGCACAUUGGUGACUGAUUGUUGGAUGAACUCCCCUCCCGGCUUCCUAGUGACGAGCCUGAUGGCUGAUCGCGCUUGAACCGGAUUUGAUUGA
rnacentral:rRNA from 1 species